rnacentral:rRNA from 1 species
CCUCGGGUGGCAGCAGUGGGGAAUAUUGGACAAUGGGGGGAACCCUGAUCCAGCCAUGCCGCGUGUGUGAAGAAGGCCCUCGGGUUGUAAAGCACUUUCAGUGAGGAAGAACGCCUGGUGGUUAAUACCCAUCAGGAAAGACAUCACUCACAGAAGAAGCACCGGCUAACUCCGUGCCAGCAGCCGCGGUAAUACGGAGGGUGCGAGCGUUAAUCGGAAUUACUGGGCGUAAAGCGCGCGUAGGUGGCUUGAUAAGCCGGUUGUGAAAGCCCCGGGCUCAACCUGGGAACGGCAUCCGGAACUGUCAAGCUAGAGUGCAGGAGAGGAAGGUAGAAUUCCCGGUGUAGCGGUGAAAUGCGUAGAGAUCGGGAGGAAUACCAGUGGCGAAGGCGGCCUUCUGGACUGACACUGACACUGAGGUGCGAAAGCGUGGGUAGCAAACAGGAUUAGAUACCCCAGUAGUC